GCCCGGGUGGCGAAAUUGGUAGACGCAGCGGACUUAAAAUCCGCAGGCCUGAAAAGGCCGUGCCGGUUCAAAUCCGGCCCCGGGCACCA
rnacentral:tRNA from 1 species